UACGUAGGGGGCGAGCGUUGUCCGGAUUUAUUGGGCGUAAAAGGCUUGUAGGUGGCCACGCCAAGUCGGAUGUGAAAUCUCCCGGCUCAACUGGGAGGGGUCAUUCGAUACUGGCGGGCUCGAGGCCGGUAGGGGGAAGUGGAAUUCCCGGUGUAGUGGUGGAAUGCGUAGAUAUCGGGAGGAACGCCAGUGGCGAAGGCGGCUUCCUGGACCGGUUCUGACACUGAGGAGCGAAAG
rnacentral:rRNA from 1 species